rnacentral:rRNA from 1 species
UACGUAGGUGGCGAGCGUUGUCCGGAUUUAUUGGGCGUAAAGCGCGCGCAGGCGGCUGCCUAAGUCCGCUGUGAAAUCUCCCGGCUCAACUGGGAGGGGGCGGUGGAGACUGGGUGGCUGGAGGGACCGAGAGGCCGGUGGAAUUCCCGGUGUAGUGGUGAAAUGCGUAGAGAUCGGGAGGAACACCUGUGGCGAAGGCGGCCGGCUGGGGGUCACCUGACGCUGAGGCGCGACAGCGUGGGGAG